rnacentral:lncRNA from 1 species
GCAUCUAGGUUCUUUCUCUCUGAAGCAAGGGAACUGUAAAGAAAAAAGGGAGAAAGUAACACAAUGUACAGGCGCCAUUGUGGCCCUGUUUGAAUUCUGGGCACCCUGCGGCUCGUUUGUGACGGGUCAAACUGCGCUGCAGCCACAUACCAGCUCAAAUCCUGCUGUGCCAUACGCAGCCCACAGCCUGGUACCCCCCUGGUGGAGCUGGUGGGUGAAAAAAUCUUUUCCUACAGGCCAGGGAGCAGCUGCUCCUGCAUCACAGAGACCCAACCAGGGGCAGCAGACUAGGAAACAAAUGCUGGCAGCGGUAACAUUACUCUGCUUGUGCAGAUAAAAAUGGCUCCUUCCAGUUAGACAGCUGGUUUAAACACUGGCCCCUGUGCAGAUCCCUACUGGCUGGGAGGAUCAUGGAAGCAAGUCUCUCAAGAUUCAGUCUGGAGAAGCCC